ensembl:lncRNA
UAAAUGGGAUAAUAUUAAGGAGUUAUCGGAUUUAAAUUAGAAGGCAAAUACAUGUAGAAUGUCUAGCAUCACACCUGUCACAUAGCAGCCGCUCAGUGUCACACAGCAGCCACUCAAUCACUAAUAGUUCUUGUGGCUGUUGUUUGUGUGAUGGUCUGAGAGCCAGAGGCUGGUCCAGCCUACCUCGACAUUAUGACUGUCCAUCAUACAGCACAUCCCACCACGAGCUCCUUCUGUCUGUCUUGUGUGAGAUUCUUUCAGCAGGUGGAUGAAUGGAUGCUUUCCUUUCUGUUUUCUGGAACAAGUGGUGGAUUGGGGUGGGAUGGGGUGAUCAUUUACUGAUUCAGUUACUGAUUUCCUGCCCUGGCGGAGUGGGCAGGAUAGGGGCCAUCACCCCAUCCUGCCUCCCCGGCCGGGGUAAACAUACCCUGUCGGUGCUCCCUGGUCCACUCCUCUGUCCCGGUCCACUCCUCUGUCCCUGCCCACUUUGCCAAGUUUCCUUUGAGGUCCACCUGCAUCCAGCACAUCACUUCAUCCUAAAGAGCAGGGACAUUGGAGCCAAAUGAUCAAGGUGAAUAUCCAGGCAGUGAAUGCAGUUUCCCCUGGGGACCAGACCAUAGGGCACUGAUUGGGGUCUGUCUGCUAGGAUUCCCCAGGGGUGCCUGCUCCAGCCAGCGGCCUUAAGGGGCUGGAAACCAGCCAGGCUGCAUGGUAUCACUCUCAUGCUGCUGCUCCAGGGGUGAUUCACAGCUGGGGAUGAAGCCCAGCUGGGCUGGGGGCCAAGGCCAUCACCGUGCGGUCAGACUUGGGUGGUAAUCCCAAUUGGUUUUUGCAUGAGCUGCCGUUUCAUUCUGAUUAAGGAGGGCCCUGGCCAGGGUGGACAUCUGGUGGCUUGGGGGUGGGGACAGAAGGAGGAGGGCUAUUGGAAUCCAAGGCAUUUUGAUUUUCAAGGCUAAACAUAUCUCCUUUUAAUUCCUUUUGUUGCUGUUGUUGUUUUCCGGAGCUUAAUGGAAAAUCCACAAAGAAGAGUUUGAACUUCAUUGAUUUAUUUCUUCAUUUUUAAAAUAACCAUUUGUCAAGCUCAAGGGUUUCAGCUUCAGAAUCAGGAAUGGCUGCUUGCACACACCGACUCAGCCCCCCACCCCACCCCCCACCUUUCGGUGGCACCCCCAAGGGGUAGCCAUGAAACCCAUCAAGGAACACGGUCCCCUUGUGUAACGAGUGGUUGGAAAGACAUGGAUUUCAGAGUCAGCUGGAUUCUCAUUCUGUCUCCAGAUUUUAUAGCGCAGGCCUCUUGUUUAAUGUACUGCAUCCCAUUUUCCUCAUCUGUCUCUCAGUCUAUCAGUUAGGGCUUUUGAUGUUGCAGAAAUCCCUUUUAUUGCUUUAACAACAAGGAAAUAUCCUGAGUACCUAGAAACUCCUGACACGUAGCAGAUUUCGGGGUUAUUUUGAUUCCUUGGCUCAGGGACAUCACCAGUGACCAACGUUUUUCCAUCUCUGUGGCUCCAGCUCCCCUCCUCCACCUCACCCCCUAUGACACGAAGGCUGCCUACAGUUCUUAGAGCUACCUGUUUCUCUGGGUCUGCUUUCUCUCCAUUGCUCUCCAUCUCAAGAAAGUGAGAUUAAACUGAUUGGCUUUCUGCCUGUGGAAGACCACCCCAGGAAGCAGAGGGUAGGUCCAAUCCCACCCAAAAGGUGAGAGAGGGUGGAAUGAGUGCUGGAGGGGCUGUGCCAGCCAGGACAAAUGACUCGAAACCCAUAGUAUUGAGAGGGCUAUGGCAAUAAGCAAUUAUGUGCGAAAUUAUCUCCUAGUAUCUGACAUGUAGGAAGGGCUGCAAAACCAUGCUGAAGAGGAGGGCCAGCAAAAAGGCUGGCACAAACCUAAAAUCAAACAUAGAAGUCACAAACUCCCCUGGUGUCAGAGUGUGGUGAGUUCAACAGAAACAAGGGGCAGCAGACUUCCCGGAUGAAGUCAUGUCAUUAGUGUGGCCUCCCUGGGAGUUCCCGCUGUGGAGCAGGGGAAACAAAUCCCACUAGUGUGUAUGAGGAUUCGGGUUUGAUCCCUGGCCUCACUCAGUGGGUUAAGGGUCUGGCAUUGCCAUGAGCUGUGGUGUGGGUCGCAGACACGGCUCAGAUCCGGCGUUGCUGUGGCUGUAGUGGAGGCCGACAGCUAAAGCUCCAAUUCGACCCCUAGCCUGGGAACCUCCAUAUGCCACAGG